UACGUAGGGCGCGAGCGUUGUCCGGAAUUAUUGGGCGUAAAGAGCGUGUAGGCGGUCAGGUAGGUCCGUUGUGAAAACUCGAGGCUCAACCUCGAGACGCCGAUGGAAACCAUCUGACUAGAGUCCGGAAGAGGAGAGUGGAAUUCCUGGUGUAGCGGUGAAAUGCGCAGAUAUCAGGAAGAACACCCGUGGCUAAGGCGGCUCUCUAGUACGGUACUGACGCUGAGACGCGAAAAGCGUGGGGGAGCAAACAGG
rnacentral:rRNA from 1 species